rnacentral:lncRNA from 1 species
GCCUCAAUGAAAGAUGUAUCACUCUAAAUAGUUGGUCUGAGAAAUUGGGCUAUAAAUCGUGGAGGAACUUGGCUUCCUCCAUGACAGGCUAAUUCCAUCUACUUCCUAACAGAAUGGAAAUCAUGUAGAUGAAUUUGGUGGCACUUUAAGAGUUUACUGAUUCUGGUGACAUGGUAUCUGCAUGACAUAAAUAUAUAUAUAAAUCAGCAAGGUUAAUCUUAUUCAUUUUUUUAAGCUAUCAAUUUUAGGGAUCCCUGGUUGCCCGAUAGACUCGGAACAAAAGCCUUUUCAUAAGCCUUGAGUUUUAAAUGAGUAUUAAAUCUCCUUUUAACCCUCCUUCCCCUAAUUGUCACUUAAAAUAUAUGAGAGGUCUAAAAUUGACGUCUUAGCAACCUGAGUCUCUCCUAUCUCAGUAGAAGGUAUCAUCGUUAUCCUUUUAUGCUUAAACCAAGACCCAAGAUUUAUCCUUUUACCUCCUGAAACCUCACACCUCUUUCUCCUUCAAUUCACUAGCUGCAAACAUAUCAGAUUCGUUGUAGCUGCUCAAACAAGACAAGCCUUUUUUUCAUUUCUAGGCUUUUGAACUGAUGUCUUCCAUCAAUGUUAAGGCAUAUAUUUUAACACAUUUUUCGUAUCUCUGAAAACAGGUGCUUUACAAUCAACAGUGAUUUACAAUGAUAAUCACAUUGUUAUUUUUCUUUCUUAGAGGUAUAAUAGCGGUGCCUUAAAUCUAAUGGAAAAAUAAAAAAAGCAAAAACGAAAGCAGCCAUGUCCUUCCCUUCCCCCAUAUCCUUGUGCUCUGGCUCAGUCCUAGCCUCUUGUCCCAGCUCCAGUUCACUCACCACCUGUUCAGGCAGAUGCUCUGGGGCUGCCGUCCCUGAAGUUCCCCUCCCCCCUCCCAUUUCAAUUCCUUUCUAGACCUAAUGCAAUUAAAAAAAAAAAAAUCUAGUUGUUUACUUGUUUACCGUCUGCCCCUCUACAGCAUGGAAGCUGCACAAAACAAGGGUGUGGGGGCUAGUUUUCCGCUACGUCCCCAGAUCUGGUGGGUGAUAAAGGCAUAGCUCUUGAAGGAAUCUCGAAGCAAGGGCAUCUCUUCUGUAGGAGAUUAGGUGGCCUGUUCCCACUACCUCAUUAUCUGAGAUGAGCAGCUCCAUCCAUAUCUCUAACGCCCCCACCCCUCCACAACGAAUGAUUGCUGUUAAAUCUCUACCAUCUGAAAAAUAUCAGGGCUUCCAGUGUAGUGGAUGAUAUCAUAAAUAGAAUUCCUCUUGGGAAAGAGAAGAACAAAUCUGACCCCAUAUUGGAUCUGUUCCUUUAGUUCUAACCUUUGUGCUCUGUUGCCUAUACUUAGUCAUGCUGGCACUCCACCUUUUGUAAAAGAAUGUCGCCUGUAGCCCGAAAUAUUCAUAAUAGCCCUUUCUCAAUGCCCUGCCUCCCAGGCUUGAGCUUUAUAAAAGUAGUAAAAUACCUUUCAUUCAAUAGAGAGAAGAAGUUGUAGGACAGAAAAUGACAACUGCCUUGAAGAUUUACAGAAACAUUGUGACCAGACCUACAGGCACACCUGCAAGAACAAAAGAUUCUGGCAACAAAAAGUCUCCAACAACCAGUCACAUCUCCUGGCUCAUUCCUAGUCCUUUACAUAUAAAAGAAGCUAGAAUUCUAAGUCAGCAGUUUUCGCGACCAAGAAGAGACCUAGAGCAUAUUUCCCACACCCUGAACUGUAUGAAGACCAGGAGCCAUAGAGUUGCCAUUGUGGAUCAGCUGAAACAAAUCUGACUAGCAUCCAUGAGGAUGCAGGUUCGAUCCCUGGCCUCGCUCAUUGGGUUAAGGAUCUGGCAUCACUGUGAGCUGUGGUGUAGGUCACAGACACAGCUUGGGUCUGAUGUUGCUGUGGCAGUGGUGUAGGCCAGCAGCUACAGCUCUGAUUUGAGCUGGCAUGGGGACCUCCCUAUGUGGCCCUAAAAAGACAAAACAAAACAAAACAAAAAACCCCAAAAAACUGGAGCCUUGGUAUCAGCAGUGGCUCUUAUGCCUGUUUGCCUUCUCAGCAAGCCCAGACAAAUUUGGUUGAGUUUCUCCCCAUCUUAGACCUCCCAUCAUUAGUUGACAAUCUUGAGUUUUAUUCAGUGGUGGAUGAACUUCUCUCUGUAAUAAUUAGGUUGUCUUUGAGCUUAUGUUCAAAAACAGGUACCUGUAUUUUGCUGUUGGGAGACGUUGGAAGAUUUUGCUCAUUUGAGAGGCACUGAAGUCGCUUGGAUUGGAUGAUUAGGUAGGAGGCUGACCUGACAUCUUUCCUCAAUUCAGCUACCUUAACAGAGUUUCUUGGACUAAAAGUGAAGAUAACACGAGAACUCUUUGCUCCAAAGAUGAGGGAUAGCUCCUCCCAGCUGAUAACAGUUUUCUUAGGCACCUGAGAAGUUUACAGGAGUGGUUGAGGCAUGUUCUCCUGGCAUGUGGUGGGCCCAGGGGCAAAACCACUCAUUGCUUUAAAGAAACUCAC